CGCAUACGUUCUCUGGGGGGCAUCCUCUGGAGAGGAAAGCAGCGAUGCGCAGGCGGAGGGGCUCGCGGCCUAUCAGCUAGUUGGUGCGGUCAUGGCGCACCAAGGCGACGACGGGUAGCUGGUCUGAGAGGAUGGCCAGCCACAUUGGGACUGAGAGACGGCCCAGACUCCUACGGGAGGCAGCAGUGGGGAAUCUUGCGCAAUGGCCGAAAGGCUGACGCAGCGACGCCGCGUGUGGGAGGACGCCCUUCGGGGUGUAAACCACUGUUGCCCGGGACGAACCCCUGGUUUCGACCAGGUUGACGGUACCGGGUGAGGAAGCACCGGCUAACUCCGUGCCAGCAGCCGCGGUAAUACGGAGGGUGCGAGCGUUGUCCGGAAUCACUGGGCGUAAAGGGCGCGUAGGCGGUUCUUUAAGCGUGCGGUGAAAGCUCGGGGCUCAACCCCGAGUCGGCCGUGCGAACUGGGGGACUCGAGCCCACUAGAGGCAGGCGGAAUUCCGGGUGUAGCGGUGGAAUGCGUAGAGAUCCGGAAGAACACCGGUGGCGAAGGCGGCCUGCUGGGGUGGAGCUGACGCUGAGGCGCGACAGCGUGGGGAGCAAACAGGAUUAGAUACCCUGGUAGUCCACGCCGUAAACGAUGGGCACUAGAUGCUCGGGGGAGCGACCCUCCGGGUGUCGGCGCUAACGCAUUAAGUGCCCCGCCUGGGGAGUACGGCCGCAAGGCUGAAACUCAAAGGAAUUGACGGGGGCCCGCACAAGCGGUGGAGCAUGUGGUUUAAUUCGACGCAACGCGAAGAACCUUACCUGGGUUGACAU
rnacentral:rRNA from 1 species